UACGUAGGGGGCGAGCGUUGUCCGGAAUCAUUGGGCGUAAAGCGCGUGUAGGCGGCUCGUUAAGUCCGGUGUGAAACCUUGGGGCUCAACCCCAAGCCUGCACUGGAUACUGACGAGCUCGAGUCCGGGAGGGGAGAGCGGAAUUCCUAGUGUAGCGGUGAAAUGCGCAGAUAUUAGGAAGAACACCGGUGGCGAAGGCGGCGUUCUGGACUGCAACUGACACUGAGAGACGAAAGCCAGGGGAGCAAACGGG
rnacentral:rRNA from 1 species